rnacentral:rRNA from 1 species
AUUGAACGCUGGCGGCAGGCCUAACACAUGCAAGUCGAGCGGAUGAAGGGAGCUUGCUUCUGGAUUCAGCGGCGGACGGGUGAGUAAUGCCCAGGAAUCUGCUUCGUAGUGGGUGAUAAUGUCUGGAAACGGGCGCUACUACCGCAUACGUCCUGCGGGUGCAACUGGGGGGUCUUUGGAACUUUCGCUAUCAGAGGGGUCUAGGUCGGAUUAGCUGGUUGGUGGGGUAAAGGCCUACUAAGGCGAGGAUCCGUAACUGGUCGGAGAGGAUGGUCAGUCACACGAGAACUGGGACACGGUCCAGACUCCUGCGGGAGGGAGCAGAGGGGAAUGUUAGACAGUGGGCGGAAGCCUGGUCCAGCCAGGCCGCGUGUGUGAAAGAAGUCUUCGGAUUGUAAAGCACUUUAAGUUGGGGGGAAGGGCAGUAGGUUGAUACCUUGCUGUUUUGACGUUACCGACAGAAUAAGCACCGGCUAACUUCGUG